rnacentral:lncRNA from 1 species
CCAUCAACCUAACCCAACUCAGCCCAACUCGUUCAGAUGGGUUGGGUUUACAAUAAUAUAAGUUAUUAUGAGCUGGAUUUUCUUCAACCCAAUCAAGAUUAAACUCAUUUAAUUUUAACCCUCAAACAACCCAACCCAACCUAAUUUUUAAUUUUGAGCCCAAUUUUAAGCCUCCCUCUAAAUCUGAAGUUUGACCUACAUAGACAUAGACACCCAAAUGACCUCUCGACAAGGCGACUGGCGACUCCGAUCUGCUGAUUCGUAGCUCAUCUCUGAUCUGUCAAUGAUCCAUUCUCUGAUCCGUAGCUCAUCUCCGACUGUUGGCGGCAGCUUCUUCAAUCUAACGACUUACAAGCUCCAAAAGUAAGCUCCCUAGCCUCCAUUCUCUACGACGACAAUGACCUAGCUACUAUGACGACCCAGGUACUACCCACUACCCAGGGACCUCUUGUCCUCCUGACCCGGCUACCUCUGACGAAUUGAAGAUAAGACCCAACUCUGAAGACGGGACUAAUACCCAGCUGCGAUGAAGCGGCGACCCAUCGCUCGUCUCUUCUUCGAUCCAUCUCUCAUCUCUUCUCUGAUCUGUCAGAUGUCGCUCAUCUCCAUCUGAGAAAGGUAUUGCUAAUCUUUCUCUUCAGUGUUUCAAUUUCAGCAGUAGAUGAAUGUUGUUGUGACUAUCUUUCUCUUGCAUUACAGUAACAGGAAUUGCUUGGACUAGCAGUUGUGGAAAGAUACAAGUAGCAAUAUGAUUAGUUGUGUUGUUUUGAUAUCGUAAUGUAGUUGAGUUGAGACUUGAGAUGAUUUGACUAGUGAAUUUGAAUGCAUGAAUCUGGUCACCGGAUGAACAUUGAAUACUAGUUUACUUUGCUUCUCAGUUUGUUAUAAACCAAUUAGAAUGAAGGGGGUCCAAUUCACUUCUCUACUGUUUCCUACUAUUCGGUGAAGUGUCCUCAGCUUUUGUUUCUAUUUCAUUAGUAGUUCCUGAUUGAAUAAUGGCAUGAAUGAUGAUAGUACCUCAACAGCAAUAGAAUAUGCAAUAAUCAUAUGAUGAUCGUUCCUUGAUUGAAUGGGAUAGGGAAGUGAUCUAGCCUUGUGUUUCUAAUGCAUUCCUAACUACAAUUGUUUUGUCAAUCGUCAGCAUUUCGUUAUGAUACCAUUUCAUUGUUGCUCUAUUUCAAGAGCUUGGAAAUCCCUGAAAUCAUGAGCUCAAUGGCUGUAGGUUGGUCACUUCAUUGUGGAUGAGUGGUCGAAGAUGAAAUGCCUCAACCAAAUUGUCAAUAUUUCCUUCAAAUGUCAAGUUAGUUUGGGGGAAGUAAUUACCUUACAUUGUUCUUAUUCUCCAUGUUAAGCAGUAGCAGUAGCAGAGGCUAGCAGCUACUAAAGUUUGACAAUGAUCUUAGUAGCAAUAGUAGCAGACCAUAAUUAGCAUAUGUGCCUUUAUGUGCAGAUAUCAAGUGCAAAUAUAGUAGUUCAGGACGCAAAGACAGGAGGGGGAAGUGAAGGUGUGGCAGUAAUAUCAGGAGCAUCGGAUCAAAUCCAUAUAGCCAAAUGCCUUAUUCAUGGCUUCAUCCUAACAGACCGUGUUGCAGCUUGACUCAUACUAUAUUGUAAUCUUGGUCAAGGGUCACUCUGUCUCUGUAUUAUCUUGCAAGUAGCAUUAGCAAAAAGAUUCCUCCGCAUGAGGCUAUUAUUGUUUAUCGUUCUCUAUCGUCGUCUUUCGCCAUUUGAGACCUUCUCAGCUGACGAAUUAUGAUAUUGUGGAUUAGUGAAUCGAGCUUGGUUGAUUUGUUAUGUGUGUUGUUGUUUUUUAAUUAAUCUUUGAUUUGGUCCAACCCAUAAUAAAACCCGACUCAACCCACACCAACCCAUUGGAGUUGAGUUGGGUCAG